rnacentral:lncRNA from 1 species
GAUUUUGCAAACAGUAAGGAAAAUGACAGUAGCACUAUCUUAAGAAAGUGUGAUUAAAUGUAAACGUUCCAAGUCCUGUAAACAACUGUGUUUCAUCUCUGCCCCCUAACAGCUUACUGGAAUGAAAAGUAAAACCAGCAUAAAGCCAGAGACAAAAGGGAGCUGCCUUGAACUCCAUUCAGUCCUGUAUCCCGAUCUCCUGCAAUACUCUGUCCUUCCUCUACCCAUGGAAAGAAGAUGUGUAGAAGAUAAAAGAGAUGUGUAGAGUUUAUACACAUCUAGUUUUGCCUCUAUUCUGUGAGCCUGUAGCAUCAAAUUUUAAUUUGCUCAAUACUGAUCUACAUGCCCCUCACUGAAGCUGCAUCCAUGUUUUCUUGCCCUUAUGGGAAUAGCCCAGAGGCCGGCAGGUGGCUCAUGAAGGGUUGCAGAUGUGCUUCGGUAUUUUUUAAACGUGUGCUCUAUUCACUGCCUGAUUUCUUUUUUGAUUAUGAACCAUCUGUAAUUUUCAAUCUGUUCUCAGGAUUUUGCUUUACAUGUUAUUCGGCUAUAGCAGGACUAUUGUUCGUAAUUCUCCAUAUGUGACAAACAAGGGGUGAGUUAAGACUUUUUGAUAUCUCACCCUAAAUGCUUAUAAUGGCAAACCUGUUUAUACAGCAAGAAAGAAUAUAAUUUCUGGAGCCCAGUCGGCCUCCCGAUCCCACAGCCUGGAAAACCACCACCCACUUGAAAUGAUCUUCUCAACAUUUUAAAUUUAUUUUCCUAACUCUUCUUUGGAAACCAAAGGGAUACAAUGCAAGUGACACACUGGCUUCCCUUGCCUUCUGCCAUGAGUAAAAGCUUCCUGAGUUCUCACCAGAAGCCAAGAAGAUGCCAGUGCCAUGAUUCUUGUAAAGCCUGCAGAACUCUGGGCCAAAUAAACCUCUUUUCUUUAUAAAUUACCCAGCCUCAGGUAUUCCUUUAUUGCAAUGCAAAAUAAACUAAUACAUAGACAUAGUUACCCACUGUGCAAUUUGCGACCUUGGGGUUAAAUACUUUUUAAAUAUGGUAGCAAUAGUAAGUACAGUUCCAUGAUUAUUAGACCACUUGAUAUAUGGAGUAACCCUAGUUUGGGAAAUAAUUUCCUUCAAACUGGGAGAUUUAGCCAUAUUUGUCACUGCUGCUGCUUUGAUCUUUAUUGUUACUUAACUUUUCAUUGAUGGUAAGGCUCCCAAGAGGCUGUGAGUUUACUGAAGACAGGUUAAGACUGUGCCUGACUCAUACAGAAUUCUUACUAAAUUUUCACAUAGUAAGGGCUCAGUCAGCCUCUUUUUCAACUGCAUUAAUUUAAAAGUAUCUUCCUUUUACUGUCAC